GGAUUAGAAACCCUGGUAGUCCACGCCGUAAACGGUGGGUACUAGGUGUGGGGGACAUUCCACGUUCUCCGUGCCGCAGCUAACGCAUUAAGUACCCCGCCUGGGGAGUACGGUCGCAAGACUAAAACUCGAAGGAAUUGACGGGGCCCCGCACAAGCGGCGGAGCAUGCGGAUUAAUUCGAUGCAACGCGAAGAACCUUACCUGGGUUUGACAUAUACCGGAAACAUUCAGAGAUGGAUGCCCCUUUUGGUCGGUAUACAGGUGGUGCAUGGCUGUCGUCAGCUCGUGUCGUGAGAUGUUGGGUUAAGUCCCGCAACGAGCGCAACCCUCGUCCAAUGUUGCCAGCGGGUAAUGCCGGGGACUCAUUGGAGACCGCCGGGGCCAACUCGGAGG
rnacentral:rRNA from 1 species